ACGAACGCUGGCGGCAUGCCUAACACAUGCAAGUCGAACGAGACCUUCGGGUCUAGUGGCGCACGGGUGCGUCACGCGUGGGAACCUGCCCUUAGGUUCGGAAUAACUCCCCGAAAGGGGUGCUAAUACCGGAUAAUGUCUUCGGACCAAAGAUUUAUCGCCUUUGGAUGGGCCCGCGUUGGAUUAGCUAGUUGGUAGGGUAAAAGCCUACCAAGGCGACGAUCCAUAGCUGGUCUGAGAGGAUGAUCAGCCACGCUGGGACUGAGACACGGCCCAGACUCCUACGGGAGGCAGCAGUGGGGAAUAUUGGACAAUGGGCGAAAGCCUGAUCCAGCAAUGCCGCGUGAGUGAUGAAGGCCUUAGGGUUGUAAAGCUCUUUUACCCGGGAUGAUAAUGACAGUACCGGGAGAAUAAGCUCCGGCUAACUCCGUG
rnacentral:rRNA from 1 species